rnacentral:rRNA from 1 species
UACGAAGGGGGCUAGCGUUGCUCGGAAUUACUGGGCGUAAAGGGCGCGUAGGCGGCCUGUUAAGUCGAACGUGAAAUCCCCGGGCUCAACCCGGGAACUGCGUCCGAUACUGGCAGGCUUGAAUCCGGGAGAGGGAUGCGGAAUUCCAGGUGUAGCGGUGAAAUGCGUAGAUAUCUGGAGGAACACCGGUGGCGAAGGCGGCAUCCUGGACCGGCAUUGACGCUGAGGCGCGAAAGCCAGGGGAGCAAAGCGGG